rnacentral:sRNA from 1 species
UGAAGACCAAAGACGCUGUUAAAUCGUAAUUAGACUGCUGCAACCAUUAUAUACAUAUAGAUGUCGUUAAAUCCUCCUGAGAAACCAAAAAAACUCCAAAAUUUCUUUCCUUCUUUCUACACUACAUUUUCCUAAAUUUUCAUCUUCAUUCUUCUCCCUUCCACAGUCCACAGCCAAAACUCUCCGUGAAGAAGCCCAACCUCUUCACCGCCGCCGCUGCCCUUCCUCUCCUCUCACCAGGUUUCGGAAAUGUUUUAGCACUUUCAAUGCUCAAAAUGAAAACAAUUAUUUUGUGAAUAAAGGUACCAGAAACACUUUAAUUACCGAAGGAUUUAUACCGAGAGCCUUUUGACCGUCGGUAUAGGCAUGAGUUAAUGAAAUUAGGAAUUGGGAAUUUCGUCCUCCAUUCUUCCAAAAUCCCUUUUCACGAAAGUAAGCUUCCCCCUUUCUCUUGUUCACUGCUCCACCCUCUCCCCUCACCGUAAUUUGUCUACCUCUCUCGUUCAAAGUUCGAAAGCACCAUUGCCAUUGUUUCCCACUCGUCCAUUACGGUUUCGCCAUCGCCAUUGACUAUUCUCGAGCUCCUCUCCAUUCUCCAAAAGCGUGUGUGGUUGAAGGAUGGAGGCAUUGAUGUGACGACUUUCAUUAUGGACGGUGCUUCUCUUAGGGUUUGUUCACGACGGUCCUUUGGCGGCGUGAGAAAGUGCGUUGCUAGGUCAGUGGGUGGUGUCGCAGCAUGAGCAGAGCUUCGAGUUGGCGAGGGAGGCUAAUCUAGGGGCUGCGUGAUGAUUUGGCUCUGUGCGUUAGAAGGGCUUCGCGAGAGAGGCUAUCGGAGGUGAUAAUACACCUAGGGUUGUCCCUGCCUAGAGGAAGAAUUUUCUACGAGACUUUCACGGGUUAGAUCCGAACAUGGGUCAGCUCCUACACCAGAUGAUGCGACUAAUGAGGACGACGACAUUCGUAGGACACAGUGCUGGGUCGAUGUCGUUGGUGGGAAAAAAAAGGGACGAGUGUACGGUGCAGGACAACUUGCUGCAAACUAUACAACAUCAAAAGGAGGUACUCUAAAGCACCAACCAUCUUCUUCCACCACUACUGCUGAAGAGACCAUCGACCGCUUGACACAGCUACUACAACAACGUGACCAGGAAAAUAAUGAAUUGAGAGAAAAUUACAAUGACUUGAGAACGGAGUUUACAAACUUCAAGUCCCUGGUCAUGAGAGCACUGCCUGCUUCAGACAUUCAUUCCACUGUCCCUCAGCAGCCCACAUCAGUCCAGUCCACACCAGUCCAGCCAUCUACAGAGCAACAGGAUGAUGAAGAUCAUUCUGAUGAUGAUUAUAUAGAUUUUUAGUUUUAUUUUGUUAAUGAACAUAGUUGUUAGAACAUUUUUUAUGUUACAUUAGGAUUCUGUUACAUUACAUUUGCUAGAUGAACAUAUUGUUUUAUGUUUUAUGUUUCAUUUUGAAAUACAAGUUCUUAAAUUUCAA